rnacentral:rRNA from 1 species
CCCUUAGAUGUUCUGGGCUGCACGCGCGCUACACUGAUGCGUUCAACGAGUGUAUCACCUUGCCCGAUAGGGUUGGGUAAUCUUUUGAACACGCAUCGUGAUGGGGAUAGAUUAUUGCAAUUAUUAAUCUUCAACGAGGAAUUCCUAGUAAUGAUGAAUCAUCAGUUCAUCGUGAUUACGUCCCUGCCCUUUGUACACACCGCCCGUCGCUCCUACAGAUUGAGCAGUCCGGUGAAUACUUCGGACCGUUUGUAUAGAUGGUUCGCCAUCUUUGCGAAUGGAAAGUCGAGUGAACCUUACUGCUUAGAUGAAGGAGAAGUCGUAACA